AAGUCGUAACAAGGUCUCCGUUGGUGAACCAGCGGAGGGAUCAUUACUGGGUGGCUUCGGCCUAAACCCCCUAACCAUUGUGAACGAUACCAGUUGCUUAGCUGGUGGCGGUGAAAACUGCAGUACCGGCGGCACAAAACUCUUCAAUGUCAUCUCUGAGUUACUUUUAAAUAAGUCAAAACUUUCAACAACGGAUCUCUUGGUUCUG
rnacentral:misc_RNA from 1 species